rnacentral:rRNA from 1 species
GAUGAACGCUGACAGAAUGCUUAACACAUGCAAGUCUUUGGCGAAGCUGUGCUUGCACAGCCUAGCCAAGGCGGACGGGUGAGUAACGCGUAAGGAACUUGCCCUGCAGUCAGGGAUAACAGACGGAAACGACUGAUAAGACCUGGUAAAGUCAGGCGGACUCAUGUCCAGCCUGAUGAAAAGUGAUGCUGCAGGAGAGCCUUGCGUCCUAUUAGCUUGUUGGUGGGGUAACGGCACACCAAGGCGAUGAUAGGUAGCCGGCCUGAGAGGGUGGACGGCCACAAGGGGACUGAGAUACGGCCCUGACUCCUACGGGAGGCAGCAGUGGGGAAUAUUGGACAAUGGGGGCAACUCUGAUCCAGCAAUUCUGUGUGCACGAUGAAGGUUUUCGGAUUGUAAAGUGCUUUCAGCAGGGAAGAAAAAAAUGACGGUACCUGCAGAAGAAGCGACGGCUAAAUACGUG